rnacentral:tRNA from 1 species
GUCACGUGGUGAUUCCACGCCAAAAUGCAAAUUUGGAGACGCACCCUUAAAAGUGCCGGGGCU